rnacentral:lncRNA from 1 species
AAAGCACUGAAUAACAUAUGCCAACAGAACAAGGCUGGAAUGAUGACAGACUUCUGCCCCAGGCUUGGAAUGAACACCUUCUUCCCGUCAAGUCCUAGGAAUCAUUUUUCACCAUAAGCACAGAGCCCUCUUCAGCUCUGUGCCACUGAGUAACUGUCAGAAGACAAGUGCCACGACAAGAAAUGUCCCUCCUUAAAAUGGCUUAUUUAUUUUUACCUGAAGACAUCCUAUUGAGAGAAGAGCUGCAUAUAGAGACCUGUUUUUACCAGUACAUUAGCUGCACAGUUGGACAAGAA